CAGUGUUAAAACUCCCGCGGCUAACGUUUAGCUGUUUGGUGUUCCUGUGCAGAUUUUAGAGAGCUCAACGACAUUUACAAGUGUGGUGUCAACACAUGAAUGAUCUCAUCACUGUUUUUAAAGACCCUGGACCCAGAAGCAGAAGAAAUACUGAGACUCUUUACUUAAACGCUUGAAAGCACAUUUCCAGCCGUCCUACCUGCACUCUGGACUCCGUCAGGCCGAUCCUCAGAGCCAGCUCCUCCCGCAUGAA